rnacentral:rRNA from 1 species
UACGGAGGGUGCGAGCGUUAAUCGGAAUUACUGGGCGUAAAGCGUGCGCAGGCGGUUUUGUAAGUCAGAUGUGAAAUCCCCGGGCUUAACCUGGGAAUGGCAUUUGGGACUGCAAGGCUGGAGUGUGGCAGAGGAGACUGGAAUUCCUGGUGUAGCAGUGAAAUGCGUAGAUAUCAGGAGGAACACCGAUGGCGAAGGCAGGUCUCUGGGCUGACACUGACGCUCAUGCGCGAAAGCGUGGGGAGCAAACAGG